ensembl:lncRNA
GCAUGAUGUGCACCCCUUGGGCCCUUAGGAGCCAGAACAAGGCUGUGGUGAUAUUUUGUUUAUGAUAUAACAAAUACAGCUUGCCUGAAGAUCAGAGAAGCAAAGUAGCCAGGCACUAGCUCUUACCUCUACCUCAGACCAAAGGGGCGACCUGUCCUCAGACUCCUUCUCCAGACUUCACUGCUCCUCAAACGGCACUGAGCUCCUGUCUUCUACCUUAUACAUUCCUUUCUAGUGCUGGGAUAAAAGGCGUGGGAUCCCAAGUGCUGAGAUCACCUUUGUGUGAGUUCUGUUUCUCUUUUGGACUGGAUCAGUUUCGUGUAGCCCAGGGUGGUCUUGAAUUCACAGAGAUCCGCCUACCUCUGUGUCUCUAAUGCUGGGAUUAAAGGUGUGUGCCACCACUGCCUGGCCUCUAUGGCUAGCUAGUGUGGCUAGCUUUGCAUUCUGAUCUCCAGGCAAGAUUUAUUAGAUCAUAAACAAAAUUCCACCGUACAUUUGUGGCAUGUUGUCAAGACACCAGGUGAAUGCUUGGAACUCAACCCCCAAGAACUGAACUCUAGGCCACUGCAGGAGCAAGAAAUGCUAACUACUGAGUCAAUCUCUCUAGCUCCAGAAGUAUUAUUCUUUUUUUAAAAUAUUUUAUUUAUUUAUUAUGUAUCCAACAUUCUGCUUCCAUGUAUAUCUGCACACUAGAAGAGGGCACCAGAUCUCAUAACCGGUGGUUGUGAGCCACCAUGUGGUUACUGGGAAUUGAACUCAGGACCUCUGGAAGAGCGGUCAGUGCUCUUAACCUCUGAGUCAUCUCUCCAGCCCCCAAGAAGUAUUAUUCUUAAUAGCCAAAAAGUAGAAAUGGAUUACAUAAUCACCAAAUGAUGAAUGAGGGGAAUAAUAUGUCUACCAGUGCAGUGGGGGUCUUGUAAGUAAUAGAAAAGGAUGAGGCACUAUAUGCUACAACACUACUAUAACAAUCCCUCAAUGAGAACAUCCCACUAGUGAAUACAGUCAAUAUUCAGGCCACACCCAUGGUUCUCUUCACCUGCAUUGUCCAAAAGAACAAAAUCUCCAGGGACAGUAAGUAUAUGGUGCUUUUCUAAGGACUGAUGAUGUGUGCCCAUGUAUAUCUGUCUAUCAUUGUGUAUGUUUGCACAUGUGUUUGACUGUAUUGUAUCUGUGUGCAUGUGUAGGUACUUGUGUAUACAUGUGUAAAUGGGUGUGUAAGUGUAUGCAUUCAUGUGUAUCUGUAUACCAAUGUGCAUAUGUGGUAUGUGUAUGUGUGCACAUGUGUUUGACUGUAUUGUAUCUGUGUGAAUGUGUAGGCACAUGUGUAUAUGUAUGUGUAAAUGGGUGUGUAGUAUGUGUGUAUCUGUAUACCAAUGUGCAUAUGCAGCAGUGUGUAUGUGUAAGUAAGUGUGAAUGCCUACAUAUGUGCAUGUAUAUGUUUGAGUGUACUGUAGCUGUGUUAUGUGUGCAUAUAUGGUGUGUAUGUGUGUAUGCAUGUGUGAAUAUAUAUACAUACAUAUAUGUGUGUGUGUGUGUGUGUGUGUGUGUGUGUGCGUGAUGUUUGUGUAAAAUUUUUAGGAAAGUGACUGAUAAUGAGUUUCUAUUUGGAAUGAUGAGGAUAUCCUAAACCUAGCUCAUGGCAAUGCUGGUAACUUGUGUGAAGAAUACUAAAUUAAGUUGUGCCCUUCAAGUGUGUGAAUAACUGACACAUGGGUGGGUAGUGGCAGGGUACUAAUGAUGAGCUUUCUAGACUCAGCUAAGCAUGCUGUUCUUUCCCCCCUUUACUGAUGUGAGCCCUGGGCAAUCUGUCGGAGGUUUUAUUCAGCUAUGAGAAGAAGGGAGCUGCUUCUCCUCCCUUUUUCUUCUUUGUCUGUGUCUCAUAGACAAAAGGAUCCCAAAUGACAUCCUCAGGCUGGAGUUUUGGUCAGGGAGAAAAACAAAGAUGAUCUAAUACAUUGAAGAACCUUACAAGUGUUGCUUUGGCUGAGGUCAACUGAAAGACCAUAUGUACGUAUGAUUGGACUUUGAGAGUUUUUAAGAAGGGGUUCAAUUGCUCAAAGUGUCCUUUCUGUUUGUUUUUGAGAUAGGACCUUGCCAUGGAGUCCAAGCUGACCUGGAGCCCUCUAAAUGCUGGAGUUAGAGGCCUUCCCUACCAUGCCCAGGCUGUGUAAGCUCAGAGACCGCCUUGUUCACAGCCACAAUUCUCUGGAGAUCCAUCCAUGUCACCGCCCUAUGUCUCAGGAGUUUGUUCCUUCUGAGUGGUGUUGCACAGUGUGGCCAAACCAGAGACACCCAACCAUUUAUAUCUAAAGGGAUGCCUCUGGGGUGGGUUGCUUUUGUCCUGGAAAUCCCUGUAAUGUUGAUGAAACUGUGCAGAGCUACACUUUGGUCAUGUCUUCCAACUGUCUGCCCUUCCUGUCCUCUCAAGGCUGACUAAGUUUCAGAGAACAGUACCCUCAACUGAUUCCAGCACCCAUGGUGUUGCACCCUUGACCUUCCUGGAGCUGGUGCCUCACCCUGUUGACAUUUUUCAGGUUCUAUUCUGAUCCAUCAACUCAUGCCAGAUGCUGUGGUCUAUGAAGCCACAGAUGCAGGUUCUGUUGGCUUUUGUAUAUUCACAUUGGGACGAUGGGAGCCCAUUUUUCCUGACAGUUAGUGGUAACCUGAUAGUCAAGCCUCCGAUGGAACUUUAUC